AAAAUAUAUUAAUGCAUGAAUCUUCAGCUUAACAAUACCAAUCUAAAUUAAUAUAAUUAUACAGUAACUGCAAUCCUUGCUAUUACUGCAGGCUUUAAUAUUCUACAGUAAGUUGAUACCAACAUGGUGCAGUGUUCAGUGAGAAGGAAGGACUAGAUUAGUUUGUAAAACCACCAACUCCACAGAUCAAUAUUCAUAUCCUGAAGAAAAUAUUCCCCUGUCUUUACUACCCUGGUUCUGGAAAAAGAAAAGGAAUUCUGUGUCUCCUGCUGAUAAAAGUCAAAGCAAAACAGAAGCAUGGAUAGAAGGUGUUACUCCUUCAAGCUCUUGUGUUCCUGAUGUUUUAGUAAGAAGUGAUCCUGAACCUAAACCACAGGCCAUCAUUCACUCAUCUGCUCCUCUACCAGGCAGCAUUAUGAAUCUUUCAGAAGAGAUACAAGAAAAUCUUUCUUGUGGGAUUGAAACUGUUACGACUGAAGAAACACCUGAGCAGAAUGCGGAAGGAAAAUUUUGGCUGCACAAACUUGGAACGAGUAUAAACAAGUGGUCACAGCUGAAUUCCCUGAUUGAAUUGGGUGAAAACAGAGCUCUAGAAAAAGAUCAUCCAAACACAUCUGGAGUUUGUUCUGAUCUUGACCACAAAGUUACUGAGCUGGAGGAGGGUAAAACCAACGAAGAAUUGCCAUAUAUCCCAUACAAACUAGCUACAUUAUAUAUAACCAAGGUAAAAUAAAAAUAAAAGUAAAGAAAAAUGAAUGAAUAAGUUACA
rnacentral:lncRNA from 1 species